UACGUAGGGGGCAAGCGUUGUCCGGAUUUAUUGGGCGUAAAGAGCGUGUAGGCGGCCAUGUAGGUCCGUUGUGAAAACUCGAGGCUCAACCUCGAGACGCCGAUGGAAACCAUGUGGCUAGAGUCCGGAAGAGGAGAGUGGAAUUCCUGGUGUAGCGGUGAAAUGCGUAGAUAUCGAGAGGAACACCUGCGGCGAAGGCGGGUUGCUGGGCUGAUACUGACGCUGAGAUGCGAAAGUGUGGGGAGCAAACGGG
rnacentral:rRNA from 1 species